rnacentral:rRNA from 1 species
UUAGUACAGCGGCGAACGGGUGAGUAACACGUGAGCGAUCUACCCGACGGCGGGGGAUAACCCAGGGAAACCUGAGCUAAUACCGCAUACAGCACCGGCUUGGAAGCCGGAUGUGAAAGCUGGCCUCUCGAAGAAGCUGGCACCAUCGGAUGAGCUCGCGGCCUAUCAGCUAGUUGGUGGGGUAACGGCCUACCAAGGCGAUGACGGGUAGCUGGCGUGAGAGCGUGGCCAGCCACACUGGGACUGAGACACGGCCCAGACUCCUACGGGAGGCAGCAGUGGGGAAUAUUGCGCAAUGGGCGAAAGCCUGACGCAGCGACGCCGCGUGGGGGAGGAAGGCCUCAGGGUCGUAAACCCCUGUCAGGUGGGACGAACCACCGAUCGGUUAAUACCCGGUCAGUCUGACGGUACCACCAGAGGAAGCUCCGGCUAACUCCGUGCCAGCAGCCGCGGUAAUACGGAGGGAGCUAGCGUUGUUCGGAAUUACUGGGCGUAAAGGGCGCGUAGGCGGUCGGGUAAGUCGAGUGUGAAAUUCCGGGGCUCAACCCCGCGAACUGCAUUCGAUACUGCUCGACUAGAGAGAGGUAGGGGCGAGUGGAAUUCCCGGUGUAGCGGUGGAAUGCGUAGAUAUCGGGAAGAACACCCGGUGGCGAAGGCGGCUCGCUGGGCCUUUUCUGACCGCUGAAGCGCGAAAGCGUGGGGAGCAAACAGGAUUAGAUACCCCUGGUAGUCCACGCCCGUAAAC